GUAGUCUGCAACUCGACUACAUGAAGCUGGAAUCGCUAGUAAUCGCAGAUCAGAAUGCUGCGGUGAAUACGUUCCCGGGUCUUGUACACACCGCCCGUCACACCAUGGGAGUCGGAAAUGCCCGAAGCCGGUGACCAAACCGAAAGGGAGGAGCUGCCGAAGGCGGGACGGAUGACUGGGGUGAAGUCGUAACAAGGUAUC
rnacentral:rRNA from 1 species